rnacentral:rRNA from 1 species
AUUGAACGCUGGCGGCAUGCUUUACACAUGCAAGUCGAACGGCAGCACGGGCUUCGGCCUGGUGGCGAGUGGCGAACGGGUGAGUAAUAUAUCGGAACGUACCCAGAAGUGGGGGAUAACGUAGCGAAAGUUACGCUAAUACCGCAUACGAUCUAUGGAUGAAAGCAGGGGACCGCAAGGCCUUGUGCUCCUGGAGCGGCCGAUAUCUGAUUAGCUAGUUGGUGAGGUAAAGGCUCACCAAGGCGACGAUCAGUAGCUGGUCUGAGAGGACGACCAGCCACACUGGAACUGAGACACGGUCCAGACUCCUACGGGAGGCAGCAGUGGGGAAUGUUGGACAAUGGGCGCAAGCCUGAUCCAGCAAUGCCGCGUGAGUGAAGAAGGCCUUCGGGUUGUAAAGCUCUUUUGUCAGGGAAGAAACGGUAGAGGCUAAUAUCCUGUGCUAAUGACGGUACCUGAAGAAUAAGCACCGGCUAACUACGUG